GGUUCGAUGGUGUAGUGGUUAUCACUCCUGUCUUACACUUGCAAGGUGUUCACAGGCGGUCGUCAGUUCGAUCCUGGCUCGAGCCA